CGCGUGAGGGAGAAGCCUACUGGGUUGUAAACCUCUUUUUUCAGGGAGGAAAAAAAUGACGUGUACCUGAAGAAUAAGCAUCGGCUAACUCCGUGCCAGCAGCCGCGGUAAGACGGAGGAUGCAAGUGUUAUCCGGAAUUACUGGGCGUAAAGCGUCUGUAGGUGGUUUAAUAAGUCAACUGUUAAAUCUUGAGGCUUAACUUCAAAACAGCAGUCGAAACUAUUAGACUAGAGUAUAGUAGGGGUAAAGGGAAUUUCCAGUGGAGCGGUGAAAUGCGUANAUAUUGGAAAGAACACCGAUGGCGAAAGCACUUUACUGGGCUAUUACUAACACUCAGAGACGAAAGCUAGGGUAGCAAAAGGGAUU
rnacentral:rRNA from 1 species